rnacentral:rRNA from 1 species
AUGGAUCCAUCCAAUAUCUGUAGUCCAAGUUUAAAUGGGCUGCAGUCAUGUCCAAGUUUAACUGAAUAUGUGCGUGCACGUCUACACUGUUCUGCUCUGCAUUCAUCCAACGACAUUACCGAUGUUGACUUGACGCCUAACCAAAACGAUUUUGCCAUCUCCCAUCUGUAUCCAGCUCCACAGAUAGAUGGAGAUAGCCCCUCCUUGAUAUCGACCCAUGUUGGGAAUGACCUCUCACGUUCUAUUCUUCAACAAAUAUCACCGGCCGGCAAUAACCAGCUUACACACAUUGCAGAAGAUAGAUUUUCCUUUUUUACUGUUAUUAUUAAAGAUCACCUAUGCUCUCUCUCUCUCAGUUCAUCUAUUAUCUAA